rnacentral:lncRNA from 1 species
CUCCUUUUAAAAACAAAAUAAAAUUCUCAGCGUAAAAAAUAACUUCAUCUAUAAAACUAUUUUAAAAAUAAGUAGUUGGAAAAAAAUAACUCAUAAUAGCUCAUAAAGCUAUUGUAAGUUAUACCAAAUAGUUCAUGAGGAGUUACUUUAUAUGGUUUUCGCUUCUAGUCUAGAAAUGGCUAGCUCGGCUCCUACUGUACAG